GGCAACUACUCUCCCACUCUCUCAAAUUUUGUGUUUAUCCAUGCAGUAUGUAUCUGUGACAGUAUGUGGCAUUGUCUUGUGUGCAUUUAAAUUAAUCAAAUAAGUUCAUACUGAUCACUUUCUUCCAUAACUUGAUGUUUCAUUUCAUUUUGUUUUGGUGACUCAUCUAUGUUGAUACUUGCAACUACUGCAUAGUAUUCCAUUAUACAAAUACAGCAUCAUUUAUUUGUCAGUUCUCCUGACAAUUCAGGUUGUUUGCAAGCUGUGACAGCAAACAACAUCCCCAUGCAUCAUCUGGUGUCUGACUUUCUGAAGCCCUCCCUAGGGUGUAUCUUGAGGAAUAAAUUUUCUGGGGUCAUGUGCAUACACAUCUUCAACUUCAUUCGAUGCUGCCAAAGUUUUCUUCCAAGUGGUCACAGCAAUCCCUGGAGCUUUUGAAACAAGGACGUGACAUAGACCAGGAGUUCUCAAACUUGGGUCCUGGCUGCUACGGAUUUCUGAAACUCUUUGAUGGGGUUUAUGAGGUCAAAACGAUUUUCACAAUAAGCUAUGAUCUGCCUUUCUCACUCAUUCUGUCACAGUGCAUGGUGGAAUUUUCCAGGCAUGCAUGUGAUGACAUCACAGCUCUGACAGCCAGUGAGAUGCAUGCUCAUGGCUUCUUGUGCUUUCGAAGCUCUCCAUUCUAAUGAGUAUGGUAAACGUUGAUCGACAAAACUCUCCCUGACAAAAGCUCUUUGAGGGCCUCAAUUUUUAAGAGUGUAAAGGGGUCCUGAGACCAAAAAGUUUUAGGGUUGCCAAGGGACAGACCCACCAUUUAGACCUACAGAGCUGGGGAGCACGACGGGCAGUCCACGGGCGAGUUGCUUCAGGGCUGCUGUUCCUCCUUGCCGGGUUUACUUCUUGGGAUGCUGAGACAAAGUGAUUUCAAAUUCAGCCGGUGGAAACAGGCCCUUGUUCUGUCGACUGCCCCUGCUGCAUGGAUCCUCAGGGGGCAACUCGAGCUCUGGGAACCAUCUUGCUGGGAUGCACUCCUCACAUUCUGGGCCUAUCUCAGAGCCAUUCCAACUGGCCCCAUUUGGCCCAUGGGGGUUGCUAACAGUGCGUCAUUGAUCCAACCUCUCUGAUUCCAUCCCAUUUUGGGAAACUGUGAUUUUCAGGCCAGAGGGACACUGCCAGAUCUGAACAGACCGGCUGGGAAGGUCAGCACUAUGCAGAGGGAGGCAGCCGUGUGAGGGAAAUAAGUCGGAUGCUUGGGUUGCAAGUUAGACCCUACUUCUAAGAGUGACCUUGGAUUCAGUCACAGCAGCUGUGCCCAGUCGACAUCCCACCUGCCACCAGAGGGCUCUCUGUAGUGCCACAGGUGGUCCUCAUCCACUACUGCCUGCCCGGCCGCUUCUCAUCAGUGGUGACUGUCAGGAACCCAAAGGACUGACCCCUGAAAAACAUUCCUGAUCCCGGACUGUGCUUAGUCAGCUCAAGCAUGAAACCUGGUACAUUGGUAUAAAAAAAUUUAUGCUUGUAAGGCUGGUUGCGGUGGCUCACACCUGUAAUCCCAGCACUUUGGGAGGCCAAGGCAGGCAGAUCAGGGUGGGUCCCGGUUAGGUUGGAAGUUUGAGACCAGCCUGGCCAAUAUGGUGAAACUCCGCCUCUACUAAAAAUACAAAGGUUAUCCAGGCAUGGUGUUGUGCGCCUUUAAUCCCAGUUAUUCAAAAGGCUGAGGCACGAGAAUCACUUGAACCCGGGAGGCGGAGGUUGCAGUAAGCCGAGAUCACACCACUGCACUCCAGCCUGGGUGAUAGAACGAGACUCUGUAUCAAAAUAAAAAAAAAGAAAAAAAAAAGUUAUGCUUGUAGAAGCCAACUCAAGAUUAAUUUACAUAUUUAAAAAUAUUUUCCUUGGAAAUUUAAUACACAUCCAAUAUCGAUUAUCUUCUUUAAGUACUUUGUAUCUUAUUCUUCCUGUCAAGCUUUGCACUAUAAAGGUGAUGUCAUGCUUUUCUGCCAUGCCUCAUGCAGGUGGCACCUCCUUCCUCACCCCCACGUCUUUUCCAGGUGAGCCGCGAUGCGCAAAAGGUUGGGAUGCCUGGCACAGGAUGCCAGCUAGUCGAUGUCUUUAGAAUGCCCCUGCUGUCUCUCCCGGGGCUAAAUCCUAUUCCACCGUGAGCCUUCCUUGACCAGCAGAGAAUAGAAGCGCCUGGUACAUACAGGCCACCAAAGGUAUCUGUUGAACAGACAUGCACACGGCUUCUGCCGUGGGCCAGGAGGGCCCACUCAGGAGCCUGGGUACUUUCCCUCCAUAGGCCAUGUAUUCCUGUGAACAGAUGAAUAGGGCAGAUGCUGCUUUUAUCCCUAUUUUACAGGUGAUAAAGCUGAGGCUCAGAGGGGCUUAGAGACUUGGCUAAGCUCAACAAGCUGCUGGGAAGUAGUAGAGCUGUGAUUCAAAUCCAGGCAUUCUGGCUCCAGGACCAUGCCCUUAGCUGCUGUCUCUUCAUGCGCCAACCUUUGUGAUGCUGUAUUUGUUUGUAGUAUAUGACUAUUGUGACCUCUGUGGGGGCACUUAGCACAAGGCCUGGUCCUUGGUAGGUGCUCAAUACAUAUUGUUUAAAUGAAUGAAUGAAAGCAAUUAUUGUUCCUUUAGAUGAUCAAAAUUUCCACUCCACCCUAAGUUCCCCUUUCAUGGAAUGAAGGGAUACGAGGCUAGGGAAAGUCAGCUUGGGACACUGAUGGAUUCUCAGAGGGCAGAGCUUGGCCUUCUUGGCCUGCCAGUGGGCAGAGAGACCCUCCCUACCCGAGGGGGCCAGGGAAGGCUUUGCUAUGGCAGCGACAUUGAGAUAGGGUUUUGAAGGAUGAGUGGGAGUUCACUGAAUCUCAGAAGUGCAGCCUGAUGGAAUCUGGGGUUGGAAGCAGCACAUGUAGUGAAGGGUCAGUCUCAUCUUCAAACGACCUCCCCAUCAUUUAGGCUGGAGGUACAAAGCAGGACUAUAGGAACAUAUACAGAUGGCUGUGAACCCGUGACAUGGCCAAAGGUUUCCUCUCAUCCCUUUUGCUGAAUCAUUUAGUGCUGUUCAAAGACAAGGCGGUUAAGCCUUGUUCCCUUCGAUGUCUCUCACUUGGAAUGGAUGCUUCUGGCUGCCAGCUGCUCUCCUCCUCUGUGGCUGGAAGCAUUUUGGGUUUCUGGGGGUCUUCUCUGAGACUGCAGUUAUCCUAGGCAUGAAGCAAACAUGAGC
rnacentral:lncRNA from 10 species